rnacentral:tRNA from 1 species
GCAUCCGUAGCUCAGCUGGAUAGAGUACUCGGCUACGAACCGAGCGGUCGGAGGUAGUAAAAUAAAUUUUCCCGAUGCA